rnacentral:rRNA from 1 species
GACGUAGGGCGCGAGCGUUGUCCGGAUUUAUUGGGCGUAAAGGGUGCGUAGAUGGCUUGAUAAGUUAGCAGUGGGAAAUCGAGGCUCAACCUCGUGGAAGCUGGUAAUACUGUCAGGCUCGAGUGCAGGAGAGGUUAACGGAACUCCAUGUGGAGCGGUAAAAUGUGUAGAUAUCGCUUGGAACGCCGAAGGUGAAAACAGGCUGCUGGGGUUGCGCCGACGCUGAGACACGAAAGCCAGGGGAGCAAACGGG